rnacentral:rRNA from 1 species
UACGAAGGGGGCUAGCGUUGCUCGGAAUUACUGGGCGUAAAGCGCACGUAGGCGGAUUGUUAAGUCGGGGGUGAAAUCCUGGAGCUCAACUCCAGAACUGCCUUCGAUACUGGCGAUCUCGAGUUCGGGAGAGGUAAGUGGAAUUCCGAGUGUAGAGGUGAAAUUCGUAGAUAUUCGGAAGAACACCAGUGGCGAAGGCGACUUACUGGACACAUAUUGACGCUGAGGUGCGAAAGCGUGGGGAGCAAACAGG